CUGUUGGAUGAAAUUGAGGAUCGAUACAUAAAAACAAAACCAAAAAAAAAGCCAAUAUCACUAUCCUGCAGAACAUAUACACGUUACUCCACUAAAGCUGCAAAAAAAAAAAGGAAAACCACUUUUUUUUCAAAUCAUGUUUGUAUCAUAAACAACAAGCUUGUAAUAAAAAAACAAAAAAACCCUUCACACUUUUUCUACUACAAAAUUUCUCUUGCAAAUAUAAACCAAACGAAACCUGUCAAUUUUUUCAUUAACCAUUCACAUGAACUUCACUACCAAUCUAAUUACCUUCAAGAUCUCAUAAUACAACCUGCAAAAACCACCCUUCAAUUUCCCACACAACAUAUCAAAUUUUAUUCCAACCACAUUUAUUCACAACUUCAACCAAGAUUGCUUCCUCAUGAACCAAUUCAUAACCGUAUCAUCUUCAAUGUCUUCUCACACAAACCUCGCAACUUCUACUUUCACACAGAUAAAAAACCAAACACUUUAGUUUACAACGCACUCAUCAAAGCCUGCAUUCGUUGCCACUCAUCAAACCAAGCACUACUACAUUACAUAAACAUGCUCCAAAACGGUGUCUUACCAUCAAGCUAUUCAUUCUCCUCUUUGAUUAAGGCCUGCACCUUGUUAACAGAUUCUGUAAACGGUAAAGCACUUCAUGGACACGUGUGGAAAAACGGUUUCCAUUCACACAUGUUUGUUCAAACUACCCUGUUCCGCCAACCACCCUCACCGUAA